rnacentral:rRNA from 1 species
CGCUUAUCUAUCCGUCCAGGAGGCGGCAUCAUUCGUCGCUUGGCCAAAGUCCUCGAAAACCUCCUCUCCUCGGAGCGGGGGCUCGGGGUAAAAGAACCCACGGCGCCCAAGGCGUCAAGGAACACUGUGCCUAACCCGGGGACGCGGCUGGCUUGCUAGCCGCCCCCCGUGUUGCGAUGCUAUAUAAUCCACACGACUCUCGGCAACGGAUAUCUCGGCUCUCGCAUCGAUGAAGAACGUAGCGAAAUGCGAUACCUGGUGUGAAUUGCAGAAUCCCGCGAACCAUCGAGUCUUUGAACGCAAGUUGCGCCCGAGGCCACCUGGCCGAGGGCACGCCUGCCUGGGCGUCACGCUAAAUACGCUCCCACACCCCUCAUCGGGCAGUGGGAUGCGGCAUGUGGCCCCCCGUCGCGCAAGAAGCGGUGGGCCGAAGAUGCGGCUGCCGGCGUAUCGUGCCGGACACAGCGCGUGGUGGGCGACCUCACUUUACUUACCGCAGUGCAUCCGACACGUAGCCGACGUGAUGGCCUUAACGGACCCUAUGAACGGAACGCAUGACGUUUCGACC